rnacentral:ncRNA from 2 species
UCUAUUUAAACAUAAUCAGGUGCUCUUUUCGAGCAUAAUAGGGAAUCCGGUGAAAUUCCGGAAUGGGCCCGCCGCUGUAAACGGGAACGAACGCUGCAAUAUGUCACUUUCGUGUUGUGAGACGAUGGGAAGACGCAGCCAUUAGAAUGAUCCGUGAGUCAGAAGACCUGCCUGGUUGAUUGACAUGUC